UUUUGGUAGAGAACGAGUCUCACUAUUUUGCCCAGGCUGGUCUUGAACUCCUGGGCUCAAGCGAUCCUCCCACCUCGGCCUCCCGAAAUGCUGGGAUUACAGGUGUGAGCCAGGGUGCCUGGCACUGUCUAUUUCUUACUGUCUCUCUCCGCCUGUCUGAUGAUCUUUGUCUCCCUGUUUCUCUCGUUCCCUCCCUGACUCUCAGUCAGUUUACCUCUCUGUCUCUCUGUCUGCUUCUGACAGUGUCUCCCUCUCUGUUUCUCUUGGCCUCUUGAAUUCUCUGUCUC
rnacentral:lncRNA from 10 species